AGUGAACGCUGGCGGUAGGCCUAACACAUGCAAGUCGAACGGCAGCACAGUAAGAGCUUGCUCUUACGGGUGGCGAGUGGCGGACGGGUGAGGAAUACAUCGGAAUCUACUUUUUCGUGGGGGAUAACGUAGGGAAACUUACGCUAAUACCGCAUACGACCUACGGGUGAAAGCAGGGGAUCUUCGGACCUCGCGCGAUUGAAUGAGCCGAUGUCGGAUUAGCUAGUUGGCGGGGUAAAGGCCCACCAAGGCGACGAUCCGUAGCUGGUCUGAGAGGAUGAGCAGCCAAACUGGAACUGAGACACGGUCCAGACUCCUACGGGAGGCAGCAGUGGGGAAUAUUGGACAAUGGGCGCAAGCCUGAUCCAGCCAUACCGCGUGGGUGAAGAAGGCCUUCGGGUUGUAAAGCCCUUUUGUUGGGAAAGAAAAGCAGCAGGUUAAUACCCCGCUGUUCUGACGGUACCCAAAGAAUAAGCACCGGCUAACUUCGU
rnacentral:rRNA from 1 species